rnacentral:rRNA from 1 species
GCCAGACUCCUACGGGAGGCAGCAGUGGGGAAUAUUGCACAAUGGGGGAAACCCUGAUGCAGCGACGCCGCGUGAAGGAAGAAGUAUUUCGGUAUGUAAACUUCUCUCAGCAGGGAAGAAAAUGACGGUACCUGACUAAGAAGCCCCGGCUAACUACGUGCCAGCAGCCGCGGUAAUACGUAGGGGGCAAGCGUUAUCCGGAUUUACUGGGUGUAAAGGGAGCGUAGGCGGUGCAGCAAGUCAGAAGUGAAAGCCCGGGGCCCAACCCCGGGACUGCUCUUGGAACUGCGCGGCUGGAGUGCAGGAGGGGCAGGCGGAAUUCCUGGUGUAGCGGUGAAAUGCGUAGAUAUCAGGAGGAACACCGGUGGCGAAGGCGGCCUGCUGGACUGCGACUGACGUUGAGGCCCGAAAGCGUGGGGAGCAAACAGGAUUAGAUACCCUAGUAC